CACCAGCAGCCAAUAGUUGUUGGCCAUCACGCUGUACUGCAUCAUCACCAUGGCUCCACGGCACCACGUCACAGCCUGACAGAUGACACAGAGGCGGGGGUGGUGAGGAUGCAAACAAUGAGCCAAGGCAGCUCCGUCAGACAAAGAUGACAAUGGUGAAACCAAGGAAAUUAGUGCCGUACCACCAGACUACAGAGCAGCUCCUUUCCUCAGAAUGUGGGACUCCUCCCUCAGUUCAUUCAUUCUCAGCACUCCGCCACUGGAAAUUGAUAACAUUUUAUGACUUAUCCAACUUGGAUGAGUUGGAAUCGACCCCAUGACAGGCACUGAGAAUAACAAGGCUUGCGUCUGGGUGUCACCGCUGCUCCUGGGGUCCAGCGUGAGGGUCAGCAGGGCGUCUUUCACGAGGAUGGACACA